AUGCUAAUCCACUCCAUAUCGAUUUAUGCUUGGCUGAUUUCUCUUAUUCGGAGGUUAGAACUUGCUGGUCGCAAUUUCUUUUGGAGCGUCGAUGCCUCUAGGAGGAAAAUUGUUAAUGUGGCAUGGAAGUUUAUUUGCAAGCCUCUUUCAGAGGGUGGUUUAGGGAUUCACUCUUUGGUGGUCCUAAAUGAAGCCUCAUGUCUUAAGAAUGGGUGGGAUUUGCUUAAUUCUGAGGAGCCUUGGGCAGUCUUGCUUAGGCUUUGGUUUAUGCGGCAAAAUAAAUUCAUCAAACAUCACAUCUUCUCUGCAAUUUGA